ACAUGGGUUAGACUGUGAUUGUUCCCAUAUUGUUGGUAGGGAAACUGAGGCAUGCAGGUGUUACAGAGCUCUCUCAAGUGGCAAGCUUUCUGGGUGGUUACAGAGUGGCAGAGCUGGGGUAUCCCAUGAUGUCACCACACUGCUAUAUGGAAAAGAACAUUAAUCGAGCACCUACGUGCUUGAUUCUCUUAAUUCUGUGACUGAACUCUCAAAACACCCUGGGUAAGCACUAUCAUCUCCUAUUUUCACAAGUGAAAAAACUGGGAUUCAAAAAAAUUAAGUGACUUACCAAAUAUUACAGAGCUAGUAAGCCAAGACUUGAACACUGAGAUGGAAUUCUACCUUUUAAGGUGGCUAAGCAACAGAAGGAUGUUCCUUUCCCAAGGGGAGCAGUAUCUGAGAUCCAGGUAGAAAGACCAAAAGGAAAAUUAAGAACAGACUCUCAGACCUGCCUUCCCUUUGCAUUCAGAGCACUGCGUGUUUUGAAAUAUACAAAUAGUGGGAAACGAAAUCUUUGUUCUGGAUGCAGUUAUAAUUUGGAAAGCGAGGAAAUAAAUUAUAACAAGGGGAAAAAACAGACACAGAGGGAUUGAAAUGCAUAACAAUAGAGAUGAAACACGAAGAGUGAUAAAUGAAGAUUGAGUGUGCACACCUUCUGGAGGAGCCCUGAUUGAGUAUUUUAAAAUACUACUAAAGUCAUGCCGUGUGACUUCUGAAGCUAGCUCCUAAGAAGUCCUUGCAGCUUCUGCCUGCGACUCUUAGAACACUUGCUUUGAAGGAUGCCAGAUGCUGUCUUAAAAGUCUGAGCACUCUGAAACCAUCAUGCUGUGAGGAAGCCCAAGCUAACCACAUGGGCAAAAAAGAUGCCCUCUGACUGCCACCAUUUGAGACACUCUAAUUAAGAACUGCCUCAUUGAGCCCAUGAGGCCCUGUGAAUGAUAAUAAUAAAUUGUUUUUAACCA
rnacentral:lncRNA from 1 species